rnacentral:rRNA from 1 species
GACAGAGGGUGCAAACGUUGUUCGGAUUUACUGGGCGUAAAGGGCGCGUAGGCGGCUUAACAAGUCACUUGUGAAAUCUCCGGGCUUAACUCGGAACGGCCAAGUGAAACUGUCAAGCUAGAGUGCAGAAGGGGCAAUCGGAAUUCUUGGUGUAGCGGUGAAAUGCGUAGAUAUCAAGAGGAACACCUGAGGUGAAGACGGGUUGCUGGGCUGACACUGACGCUGAGGCGCGAAAGCCAGGGGAGCAAACGGG